GGCUUUAUAGUCAAUAAUGAUAUUAGACUGCAAUUCUAAAGGAGUAAAUAAUUUAUUAAAGCUU
rnacentral:tRNA from 1 species